GACGAACGCUGGCGGCGUGCUUAACACAUGCAAGUCGAACGGAAAGGCCCUGCUUGCAGGGUACUCGAAUGGCGAACGGGUGAGUAACACGUGGGUGAUCUGCCCUGCACUUCGGGAUAAGCCUGGGAAACUGGGUCUAAUACCGGAUAGGAGCCAUUUUUAGUGUGAUGGUUGGAAAGUUUUUUCGGUGUAGGAUGAGCUCGCGGCCUAUCAGCUUGUUGGUGGGGUAAUGGCCUACCAAGGCGGCGACGGGUAGCCGGCCUGAGAGGGUGGACGGCCACAGUGGGACUGAGAUACGGCCCAGACUCCUACGGGAGGCAGCAGUGGGGAAUAUUGCACAAUGGGCGCAAGCCUGAUGCAGCGACGCCGCGUGGGUGAUGACGGCCUUCGGGUUGUAAACUCCUUUCGCUAGGGACGAAGCUUUUUGUGACGGUACCUAGAUAAGAAGCACCGGCUAACUACGUG
rnacentral:rRNA from 1 species